rnacentral:rRNA from 1 species
GACGAACGCUGGCGGCGUGCUUAACACAUGCAAGUCGAACGGAAAGGCCCUGCUUUUGUGGGGUGCUCGAGUGGCGAACGGGUGAGUAGCACGUGAGUAACCUGCCCUUGACUUUGGGAUAACUUCAGGAAACUGGGGCUAAUACCGGAUAGGAGCUCCUGCUGCAUGGUGGGGGUUGGAAAGUUUCGGCGGUUGGGGAUGGACUCGCGGCUUAUCAGCUUGUUGGUGGGGUAGUGGCUUACCAAGGCUUUGACGGGUAGCCGGCCUGCUAUGGUGGGCGGGCAGGUUGGGAGUGUAAUACGCAGGAGGGGCGACCAGAAGGCAGCAGGGGGGCGUGGGGGAGGAGGGGCGGGUGCGUGAGGAAGUCAUGCUGCGGGAGGGAUGCGGGCGUGAGGGUGGUGAAAAAAGAGAGCCGGUGACGAACCGUGCGGGCCGGGGAUGGAUAAAGAAGAACCGACGAACUACGGG